UCUGCGGCCACAUAUCAUCUACUGAAAUAGCCUGUAGGUGGCACCCUAAAUAUCGCUUUGCUGCUUAGAUAUUUCCAUUUCCCUAUUGCUCCCUUUUACCUUGUUUCAUAUCAUUUUCAUAAAAAAUUUUCGAUCGUUUCUAUGUUAGUAGAGGUGGAGAAACAUCGAUGUCAUCGAUGUCUUCGAAACAUCGGUGACAUCGAUGUUUUACCAGGCAACAUCGAUGUUUUUCCAUCUCUAACGCGCAUCAAGAAGGGAAGACGUGAAAAUUUGUUCUGUUGGUGGUGUUGGCUGAGGUAGUGGAGUGGAGGCAUGGAGAGAUAUCUGAAACGAACAUUAAAAUCAGAUGAGAAUGUGGAGGAACAAGCGCCAGCCCCAAAAACAAAACGGGAAGCUUCUGUUGCCUGGGAUCACUUUAAAAAAGGCGUUGGAAAGGCACACGGAGUUUGCAUAUACUGUGGCAAAACUAUAAAAACGAACCAUCUAAAGCACAUGCACCCAGAUCGCCUUAAAGUUGGAAAAGGCCAAAAUGACAAUACAACUGCUUUGGAUGUGUUCGUGGGAAGGACAACGUUUUAUAGUAACGAUUCUGCCAGGAAACGGAAACUCGACGAAAUGGUGAUAAACAUGAUAGCUGUAGACGUUCAACCAUUCAGCUGUGUUGAGGAUGAAGGUCUCAUUAAUCUUUUAAGAGAAAUGGACCCGCGCUACAAGCUGCCAAGCAGGACCCACUUGCGUGACACAGUUCUUCCAAAUCAAUAUGACCGUUUAAAGCUCAUCCUGGUUUCUGUAUUCAUUCUGUAUAGGGUCGAACAAUUCCACGUAUAGCUACCAUUCUUGACCCUCGUUUUAAAAAACACGGUUUUCUUAGCCAAACCAACUCCGAAGAAGCGGCCAAAGCAUUGCAGGAAGAGCUAAACUCCUUGUGUCCAUUCCUCGAGAGCAGCCAGCACCACCAACAGAAGAACCUACACGAUUUUCCUUUAUGAAAUCAAAAUUGGAUGCAAAAGUACAAUCAUUCCGGGCCGAUGGAAUUGUCCUCUUGCGUCAACAUAUGGAAAAGGAAACCCAUCCCGAAAAGUGCGAUCCACUUGCAUAUUGGGAAGUAAGAAUAUGUCUACCGAAGAAACUUUCAAAAAGUUAUCCACAAAGUUUUUUUGCGUUCCCGCUUCAUCGUGCGAAUCAGAACGAGUGUUUAGUAGAGCUGGACAACUUAUAUCCGACCGUCGCACUAGACUUUCAUCUUUCGUUGUUGACAAACUUUUGUUUUUAAACAAAAACCAACAUCUAAAUAAAAUUUAAGUGAUUAAAAAAACGUGUUUUCUUUUAAAUAUCGAUGAAACAUCCCCGAACAUCGAUGUUUCUCCACCUCUAUAUGUCACCUAUUUAAUACGAUCGUCCGAUUUUGAUAAAAUUAAUUUAAAAUUCAGAACUAAUAAAAAAAUGUUAUUUCCAAGCGUAAAAAGUAAUAUGCUUAAAAAC